CAGCGGAGGUGGGAAGUCGCGGAGCGUAUGGGCUCAACUCUCGGAUGGCGGCGAUACCAACGAAAGGAGGGUUAGACAAAGAACCUAAUGUUUUCUUACUUUACCACUUCGAACACUUUAGACAAAGAAGGGAGGGUUAGACAAAGAACCAGCCGGGGGUUUCUGUUCUGUAUAAAUGCUGAACCUGGAAAUAGCCUAAGCUGGUGAUGGAUGUUGUUUGGAAACCUAAUCUUCUAACAGUUCCCAGUAGAUCAAGUCUUGUCUUACUGUAGCAUUUGAAGUGUAAAAAACUGGUUGACAUGAACUUAUAUUCCCCUUCAUAAUCGCACUCUGAUUUUGCUCCAUUUUCCCGAG
rnacentral:lncRNA from 1 species